CCUACGGGUGGCUGCAGUGGGGAAUAUUGUACAAUGGAGGAAACUCUGAUGCAGCGACGCCGCGUGAGUGAAGACGGUCUUCGGAUUGUAAACCUCUUUUUUUGGGGAAGAAAAUGACGGUACCCAAAGAGUAAGCUCCGGCCAACUACGACCCAGCAGCCGCGGUAAUACUUAGGGAGCGAGCGUUGUCCGGAAUUACUGUGUGUAAAGGGAGCGUAGGCGGGCGAGAAUGAUGAAUGUAAAAGCUACGGGUUUAACUGGUCGGUGCGUUCGAAACCUGGUGACUUGAGUGAAGUAGAGGAAAGCGGAAUUCCUGGUGUAGCGGUGAAAUGCGUAGAUAUUAGGAGGAACACCAGUGGCGAAGGCGGCCUGCUGGGCUUUAACUGACGCUGAGGCUCGAAAGCGUGGGGAGCAAACAGGAUUAGAUACCCCAGUAGUC
rnacentral:rRNA from 1 species